UACAGAGGGUGCGAGCGUUAAUCGGAUUUACUGGGCGUAAAGCGUGCGUAGGCGGCUGAUUAAGUCGGAUGUGAAAUCCCUGAGCUUAACUUAGGAAUUGCAUUCGAUACUGGUCAGCUAGAGUAUGGGAGAGGAUGGUAGAAUUCCAGGUGUAGCGGUGAAAUGCGUAGAGAUCUGGAGGAAUACCGAUGGCGAAGGCAGCCAUCUGGCCUAAUACUGACGCUGAGGUACGAAAGCAUGGGGAGCAAACAGG
rnacentral:rRNA from 2 species